rnacentral:rRNA from 1 species
AUUUUGGCCAAUGGGGGCAACCCUGAUCCAGCCAUCCCGCGCGUAUGAUGAAGGCCUCCGGGUUGUAAAGUACUUCUGGCGGAGAAGAAAAGGUACCUCCUAAUCCGAGGUACUGCUGACGGUCUCUGCAGAAUACGCACCGGCUAACUACGUGCCAGCAGCCGCGGUAAUACGUAGGGUGCAAGCGUUAAACGGAAUUACUGGGCGUAAAGCGUGUGUAGGCGGUUCGGAAAGAAAGAUGUGAAAUCCCAGGGCUCAACCUUGGAACUGCAUUUUAACUGCCGAGCUAGAGUAUGUCAGAGGGGGGUAGAAUUCCACGUGUAGCAGUGAAAUGCGUAGAUAUGUGGAGGAAUACCGAUGGCGAAGGCAGCCCCCUGGGAUAAUACUGACGCUCAGACACGAAAGCGUGGGGAGCAAACAG